UUAGGCGGACGGGGUCGGAGUAACGACGUGGAAACCGUACGCCGUACUACUGGGGAGGUAACAACUUAGUAAAUAAGGUGCUAAUACCGCAUAAGCGCACAGCUUCGCAUGAAGCGGUGUGAAAAACUCUGGUGGUAUACGAUGGUUCCGCGUCUGAUUAGCUAGUUGGUGGGGUAAUGGCCUACCAAGGCAACGAUCAGUAGCCGGCCUGAGAGGGUGAACGGCCACAUUGGGACUGAGACACGGCCCAAACUCCUACGGAAGGCAGCAG
rnacentral:rRNA from 1 species